rnacentral:rRNA from 1 species
AUUGAACGCUGGCGGCAUGCCUUACACAUGCAAGUCGAACGGUAACGGGCCUUCGGGUGCCGCCGAGUGGCGAACGGGUGAGUAAUACAUCGGAACGUGCCCGAUCGUGGGGGAUAACGAGGCGAAAGCUUUGCUAAUACCGCAUACGAUCUACGGAUGAAAGCAGGGGACCGCAAGGCCUUGCGCGGACGGAGCGGCCGAUGGCAGAUUAGGUAGUUGGUGGGAUAAAAGCUUACCAAGCCGACGAUCUGUAGCUGGUCUGAGAGGAUGAUCAGCCACACUGGGACUGAGACACGGCCCAGACUCCUGCGGGAGGCAGCAGUGGGGAAUUUUGGACAAUGGGCGCAAGCCUGAUCCAGCCAUGCCGCGUGCAGGAUGAAGGCCUUCGGGUUGUAAACUGCUUUUGUACGGAACGAAAAGCCUUCUUUUAAUACAGGAGGGUCAUGACGGUACCGUAAGAAUAAGCACCGGCUAACUACGUG